rnacentral:rRNA from 1 species
UACGUAGGGGGCGAGCGUUACCCGGAUUCACUGGGCGUAAAGGGGGCGUAGGUGGCCGUGUAAGUCCGGUGUGAAAAGCCACGGCUCAACCGGGGACCUGCGCUGGAAACUACAUGGCUUGAGGACGGUAGAGGGAGACGGAACUGCUGGUGUAGGGGUGAAAUCCGUAGAUAUCAGCAGGAACGCCGGUGGGGAAGCCGGUCUCCUGGGCCGUUCCUGACGCUGAGGCCCGAAAGCUAGGGGAGCAAACCGG